UGCAUGUCUAAGCUCAAGCUGUGUUCACACGGCGAGACCGCGGACGGCUCAUUAAAUCAGUCGUGGUCCAAAUGGGCCAGUGCAAAUCCUACUUGGAUAACUGUGGUAAUUCCAGAGCUAAUACAUGCAACUGAUAUCCCGAAGGCAGUGUUGGUUUCUUGCUUGCCUUGCGCUGGCGCUGCUCUGACGGAUGCUUUUAUUAGACCAAGCCGCUGAGGACUUGAGGGUUCGCGCUCUCUUGUUUGACUCGUGUGAUGGUGACUCUGGAUAACCAAAUUCUGACAAGCGCACGUACUUCUCUUCUGAGCGAGACGGCGCUGCCACUUUCGAGUGUCUGCCUUAUCAGCUAUCAACCGUUCGUUAUGCGCGACCGAUGGCUUUGACGGGUAACGGGGAAUCAGGGUUCGAUUCCGGAGAGGCAGCCUGAGAGACGGCUACCACGUCCAAGGACGGCAGCAGGCACGCAAAUUACCCAAUCCCAGCAAAUGGGGGAGGUAGUGACGAAAUCUAACGAUGCGGGCGCCCUUUCUGGGGCCCCGCAAUCGGAAUGGGCACUUUCUAAACAACCUGUUGAGAACCUACUGAAGGGCAAGUCUGGUGCCAGCAGCCGCGGUAAUUCCAGCUUCAGCAGCAUCUAUUAAAGUUGCUGCGGUUAAAAGGCUCGCAGUUGAAUGUCUGUAUCGAGCGCAGGUCAGGUGGACGUU
rnacentral:rRNA from 1 species